rnacentral:rRNA from 1 species
UCGUCAGCUCGUGUCGUGAGAUGUUGGGUUAAGUCCCGCAACGAGCGCAACCCUUGCCUUUAGUUGCCAGCAUUAAGUUGGGCACUCUAGAGGGACUGCCGAGGAUAACUCGGAGGAAGGUGGGGAUGACGUCAAAUCAUCAUGCCCCUUAUGCUUAGGGCUACACACGUGCUACAAUGGGUGGUACAGAGGGUUGCCAAGCCGUGAGGUGGAGCUAAUCCCUUAAAGCCAUUCUCAGUUCGGAUUGUAGGCUGAAACUCGCCUACAUGAAGCUGGAGUUACUAGUAAUCGCAGAUCAGAAUGCUGCGGUGAAUGCGUUCCCGGGUCUUGUACACACCGCCCGUCACACCAUGGGAGUUGGGGGCGCCCGAAGCCGGUUAGCUAACCUUUUAGGAAGCGGCCGUCGAAGGUGAAACCAAUGACUGGGGUGAAGUCGUAACAAGGUAGCCGUAUCGGAAGGUGCGGCUGGAUCACCUCCUUUCUA